ACACGAGAGAGGAGGUGGUCCGAACAAUUGAAUUCUCAUCGGACUCGUGAGGUGGCUGUCCGCUAGCCGCCGUCCAGAUGGGCCGCCCGUCCGGAGUGGAAUCCGGACGUCGGCUCGACCGCCCGUCCGUCGCACGGCGGCGAGCGAGAACCGGACAGUCACCCGACCCCCGGGCCGCCGACACUUGUCCAGUCGGCCCACGCGCAGCCCCUGGCCCCGCCAGGCCGGUCGCCGUGGAACAGCCCGGGGGUUGUCCGUU
rnacentral:sRNA from 1 species